ACUAUUUUGCUAAUUCAUACUCUUUUUUUUCUUCCAGAUGCUGUAGGGGAAGCGUACAGAAGAAGAAAAUUGAAAGUUGAGUAUAUUUUUCUUUACAUAGGCCCUACCCUGUCAUUGAAACUAUUUUACUAAUUCACACUCUUUGUUUUUCUUUCAGAUGCCGGAUUGGGGAACACGUACAGAAGAAGAAAAUUGAAAGUUGAGUAUAUAUUUUUCUUUACAUAGGCCCCUACCCUGUCAUUGAAACUAUUUUACUAAUUCAUACUCUUUGUUUUUCUUUCAGAUGCCGUAGGGAAAGCGUACAGAAGAAGAAAAUUGAAAGUUGAGUAUAUUUUUCUUUACAUAGGCCCCUACCCUGUCAUUUAAACAAUUUUACUAAUUCAUACUCUUUAUUUUUCUUUCAGAUGCUGUAGAGAAAGCGUACAGAAGAAGAAAAUUGAAAGUUGAGUAUAGUUUACUUUACAUAGGCCCCUACCC
rnacentral:lncRNA from 1 species